UUCGACUGUUUACCAAAAACAUAGCUUUUUUCAAUAUAAAAAGUGUAAUCUGCCCAGUGAUUACAGGUUUAUGAUAAUAAACUAUUAAAUUGUAAUUAAACGGCCGCUGUAUUCUUGACGGUGAUAAUGUAGGAAAAUAAUUAGUCAAUUAAUUGUUGAACGUAGAUGAAUGAUUGAACGAAGUUUCCACUGUCUUAUUUAUAACAUUUUAAAAUUAAUAUAAUAGUGAAGAAGCUAUUUAAAAUUGUAAGACGAAAAGACCCUGUAAAGCUUGACUAUUAAAUCUAUAAUUGAUUCUGGUAUAACUGAAACUAUACCAGAAUUAAACUUAUGAAUUAGGUAGUUUGGUUGGGGCAACAACAUUUUAAAAUCAAAAAAUGUAUAUUUAAUAAUAACAAAAUUUAUUGUUUAAUUUAUAAAUUUAACAAUUAUAAUUUAGAUAUAAUGAUCUAUCUUAGAAUACAAACAGCUUAUAAGAUAAUAAAUAAAUAAAAGCUACUUCAGGGAUAACAGGUUAAUUUUAUUUAAGAGAUGAUAUUAAAAAUAAAGUUUGACACCUCGAUGUUGAAUUAAGUUAUCCUAGUGUUGCAGCAGUUACUAAGGGUUGGUCUGUUCGACCAUUAAAAACUUACAUGAUUUGAGUUCAUUCCGUA
rnacentral:rRNA from 1 species